rnacentral:rRNA from 1 species
AACGAACGCUGGCGGCGUGGAUAAGACAUGCAAGUCGAACGAGAGAAUUGCUAGCUUGCUAAUAAUUCUCUAGUGGCGCACGGGUGAGUAACACGUGAGUAACCUGCCCCCGAGAGCGGGAUAGCCCUGGGAAACUGGGAUUAAUACCGCAUAGAAUCGCAGGAUUAAAGCAGCAAUGCGCUUGGGGAUGGGCUCGCGGCCUAUUAGUUAGUUGGUGAGGUAACGGCUCACCAAGGCGAUGACGGGUAGCCGGUCUGAGAGGAUGUCCGGCCACACUGGAACUGAGACACGGUCCAGACACCUACGGGUGGCAGCAGUCGAGAAUCAUUCACAAUGGGGGAAACCCUGAUGGUGCGACGCCGCGUGGGGGAAUGAAGGUCUUCGGAUUGUAAACCCCUGUCAUGUGGGAGCAAAUUAAAAAGAUAGUACCACAAGAGGAAGAGACGGCUAACUCUGUGCCAGCAGCCGCGGUAAUACAGAGGUCUCAAGCGUUGUUCGGAAUCACUGGGCGUAAAGCGUGCGUAGGCUGUUUCGUAAGUCGUGUGUGAAAGGCGCGGGCUCAACCCGCGGACGGCACAUGAUACUGCGAGACUAGAGUAAUGGAGGGGGAACCGGAAUUCUCGGUGUAGCAGUGAAAUGCGUAGAUAUCGAGAGGAACACUCGUGGCGAAGGCGGGUUCCUGGACAUUAACUGACGCUGAGGCACGAAGGCCAGGGGAGCGAAAGGGAUUAGAUACCCCUGUAGUCCUGGCAGUAAACGGUGCACGCUUGGUGUGCGGGGAAUCGACCCCCUGCGUGCCGGAGCUAACGCGUUAAGCGUGCCGCCUGGGGAGUACGGUCGCAAGAUUAAAACUCAAAGAAAUUGACAGGGACCCGCACAAGCGGUGGAGUAUGUGGCUUAAUUCGAUGCAACGCGAAGAACCUUACCUGGGCUUGACAUGUAAUGAACAACAUGUGAAAGCAUGCGACUCUUCGGAGGCGUUACACAGGUGCUGCAUGGCCGUCGUCAGCUCGUGUCGUGAGAUGUUUGGUUAAGUCCAGCAACGAGCGCAACCCCUGUUGCCAGUUACCAGCACGUGAAGGUGGGGACUCUGGCGAGACUGCCCAGAUCAACUGGGAGGAAGGUGGGGACGACGUCAGGUCAGUAUGGCCCUUAUGCCCAGGGCUGCACACGUACUACAAUGCCCAGUACAGAGGGGGCCGAAGCCGCGAGGCGGAGGAAAUCCUGAAAACUGGGCCCAGUUCGGACUGUAGGCUGCAACCCGCCUACACGAAGCCGGAAUCGCUAGUAAUGGCGCAUCAGCUACGGCGCCGUGAAUACGUUCCCGGGUCU